CUAUUCAAACACUUCAAUCGGCCGCCAAAUUUCCAAAAAGAAAAUAGCUACUUAUCAUAAAAAUAUUCACAAUGCGUCGGUAUAUAUAUUGUUUGAUGUCACUACUUGUGGUACAUAUAUGUGAUAGUAAGAAGCCACAGAUUCUUGUGGAAAAGAAUAUUCAUUCUAAAUCUUUACAACAUUUACACAAUCCAGAUAAUAUUCCUACUCAUCAUCCAUAUUUCCCUGAAGUAGAAUAUCCUAAACAUAUAUUGGAUGCCCAUAAACCAUUUUUUUACAAAAAAUCUGACGCUGUGUAUGAGCCAUUUGUAGCCGAGGUGCAAACUAAUUUCAAGAGUCUAACGAAAAAGGCAAAUGAAAACGAGAAAAAAGAAAUUGUGAAUAAACCGACUUGGAAUGAAAAUGUUAACAAAAGAAACACUAAUCAUUUGGACACAGAAGAAAUAAACAAUACAAAAGCAAACAUAGGAAACAAUCCAAAUAAAGCAAAUGCGGAAACAGCGUAUAUUCGUGAACCUAAUGCAUCAGACGAAGAUAGUGAUGAAAAUGAAGAUUAUUAUAUUUCAAAUGAGAUUUCUUUACUCGAGUGCAACGACGCUAAUUCAUUCUAUGAUGAGCUUAAGAACCAAACAAAUGAUAAAGUCCGAACCAAUGGAACUGAAGAUAUCUCCAACUUUUCGUAUUCAAACGAAGAAUUUGAUGAAAGUGUUACAAAUAUUCCUGAUAUUUUAAAAAUAAACAACACAAUCAUCGAAGAAAUAAUCGCUGAUUUAGUAUCAAUCACACCAGUCACAGAUAAAGGUUCUGAAGAAUUGGUAAUUUUAAAUAGUAGUUAGUUUUAAAUAAUUUAUGUUUAAAAUAGUUUACUUGUAAACAGUUUUAUUGAACAUUUAAAUUAUAAUAAUACAUACCUAAAUUAUAUAAGUACAUUAAU